rnacentral:rRNA from 1 species
UACGUAGGGGGCAAGCGUUGUCCGGAUUUAUUGGGCGUAAAGAGCGUGUAGGCGGUUAUACAGGUCCGCUGUGAAAACUUGAGGCUCAACCUCAAGAGGUCGGUGGAAACCAUCUGGCUAGAGUCCGGAAGAGGAGAGUGGAAUUCCUGGUGUAGCGGUGAAAUGCGCAGAUAUCAGGAAGAACACCCGUGGCGAAGGCGGCUCUCUGGGACGGUACUGACGCUGAGACGCGAAAGCGUGGGGAGCGAACAGG